AAAGUACAUUGUAUUUCUCUCUGAAUUAGUGAAGCCUGAAGUAACAUAAAAUGGAAAUAGCUGAACAAAGUACAAGUUAUUGAAAACUAUACAGUACUUGACUAAAUGUACCAGAUUGCAGCUUGAUUCUAAUGAUGUUGAAAAAGUGAGCACUAAUCUGCCUGCUGAUUAAUCAGAUUAUUUAAGUUUAGAAUUAUAUUUAUAUAUUAUUCCAUGUUUAGAAAUAUAUACAAUACUAUAGGUUAUUAAUUCAAUGUGUUGUAGUUAUAUUGUUUAAAGCAAUGUAAUAAUUUCCCCCACAGUCAGCUUUCUGACAACAUAACCUUUGUAACAACGCUAAAAGGAAAUUGUAUUUAUUGUGUUUAUAUAUUUUCAUCCCUCAGGGUUUCCUUUCUAAAGAGACAGCAGGAGCUAUUCUGUCCCAGUAGGAAGGGAAGUGAAGGGAACUUUUCAGGGUGUGACUCACCCUGGAUGGCUGCAAACUGCCAAGUCAUUAUCAUAUGGCUCAUGGUGACUGCCAGUUUUUUCCAGAGCACCAGCGCUCUUCCUUCUCACACGGAAAUGGGGCCAGGUUAAAGAGAGGCAGAAGAAUGAGCGGGGAGGGAUAGACGGGAAGCCACACUUGGAAAAUGAAACAAAUGAAACAAAAUGUUCUGAGCUUGCAGGCUGAAGCAACUGCCAGGAAAUGAGCUCCGGCUCAGGGGCGAAACUGCCCCUAAAGUUUACAAACUGUCCUUAAAUUAGAUUUUAGGUGGGAAAAAAAAUCCAGAAAAAACACAAAGAAAAUUGAAAAUGUACAUCAACAGUGUUAUAAUUGUCACAUUAUAGAGGGAACUUGUUAAGUUUUAGAAACUGAUUUCUAUGAAAUUGGCCCAUGAAUGUCUUAAGUUGAUACUAUGCAGCAUAAAAAAGCCUCUCGAGAUUUUUGUUGCCUGUGAGAAACAGCAGUGGAGAAAAGGAGACAAAGAGAGCAGAGGAAAAAGAGAUGAAUAUCUUUAAAUGCAUUCUGACAGCUUCCUGCAAAACUCAAGAUUUAUGACUCUGAUUGUGGGAAUGCUCCUCCAAAACUAUUCAAAAGAAGAUAAUUCUAUAGCUGCAAAAACAGUAAUCUGUGAGUGAGUCAUAAUUUUUCUCCCAUUCCAGUAUAUAUUAAAAUCAUAUUUUAAAGCAUCUACAGCAGUUAUCAAGAUUAUUCUGAUAACAUUUCACCACUUUUUCUUUGUUUUCCAUAGGGAAAUUCAAUGGAAUUUUCUGUAGAUAUUCCAGCCUUUCUUUCCCACUCAAGAGACAAGUUUACUGAAACUCUCGUAAAAUCUAUCUUGCAGUGCUGGCAGAAGAAUAUAUGACAUUAAGCAACAUCUUUUUUUUUUUCUUUUUUUUGGAUGUAUGUCUUUCUUUUUUGCUCCAUACCAUAAUACACCAAAUGUCCUCAAUUUCUUUUUCUGAUUCGUAUUUGUAUGAUUCGUAUGAAGUAUGUCUUAUUCUAUUUCUGUCAUCUGUAACUAGUUCUUUCAUAUAGUACAUACCAUUCUUUUCUAGUAUUCAUCUAACUACAUGCAUUAUUUUUUUUAAUCUGUUCAUGUCAGCACUUUGGCAACAUGUUUUUUUCAUCAAAACAUCACGCUAACUGAAUUCAAAUGAUAAAUGAUCAGUAAUAAACUAACUCACGCUCUAA